GGGGAGUCACAAGUCAAAGCUAAGUUCUAAUUAUGAUCAUUAGCUAAAGCUGAAUUAAUGUACAUUACAUGCCUUAUUUAUUUUAUCUUAUUUUCUUUUAUUUAUUUCAUCAAAAGGACGACGCGUUGGACUGCCUAGAAACGCAACAGGAUAUGCGCAAUGAAAUAAAGGUACGUCAUCUUAUUUAGCGAAGUCUGCAUUUGCGUGAUUGAACAUGUAUUAAUAACAAUAUAUACCCCUUUUGGGGGUUCGUGACGCCAUUUUGCGAAGUGGGGGCAACACAAUAGACUAACAAUGCCAUUCCAGUUGGGAAGAAGCAAUGCGGGUUUCACCAUUGUGUUUGCCUCAUUUGGCAAGAUGGCAUCACGAACCUCGAAAAGGUGUAUGCUGUAGACUUCAAGCUGAAACGCUAUCAGGAUUCUAACCUUUAACUACACCGCUACCUUUUUAACUAUAUAGGGUGAAAACAUUUCAAAAGGUGUUGCAAUAAAGUUUAGUAAAACGUGGUUUUCGCACAAGAAGUCAGGUAUUACUGUUAGGUUUAAGAAGUUAAACUUAGUAGGUUCAACUUUUCGUGAUUACGA